rnacentral:rRNA from 1 species
GAGUUUGAUCCUGGCUCAGAUUGAACGCUGGCGGCAUGCCUUACACAUGCAAGUCGAACGGCAGCACGGGAGUAAUCCUGGUGGCGAGUGGCGAACGGGUGAGUAACAUAUCGGAACGUGCCCAGUGAUGGGGGAUAGCCCGGCGAAAGCCGGAUUAAUACCGCAUACGACCUACGGGUGAAAGCAGGGGAUCGCAAGACCUUGCGUCAUUGGAGCGGCCGAUAUCAGAUUAGCUUGUUGGUGGGGUAAAAGCCCACCAAGGCGACGAUCUGUAGCUGGUCUGAGAGGACGACCAGCCACACUGGGACUGAGACACGGCCCAGACUCCUACGGGAGGCAGCAGUGGGGAAUAUUGGACAAUGGGCGGAAGCCUGAUCCAGCAACGCCGCGUGAGGGAUGACGGCCUCGGUUG